CAGGCUUAACACAUGCAAGUCGAGGGGCAGCAUGGUCUUAGCUUGCUAAGGCCGAUGGCGACCGGCGCACGGGUGAGUAACACGUAUCCAACCUGCCGUCUACUCUUGGACAGCCUUCUGAAAGGAAGAUUAAUACAAGAUGGCAUCAUGAGUCCGCAUGUUCACAUGAUUAAAGGUAUUCCGGUAGACGAUGGGGAUGCGUUCCAUUAGAUAGUAGGCGGGGUAACGGCCCACCUAGUCUUCGAUGGAUAGGGGUUCUGAGAGGAAGGUCCCCCACAUUGGAACUGAGACACGGUCCAAACUCCUACGGGAGGCAGCAGUGAGGAAUAUUGGUCAAUGGGCGCAGGCCUGAACCAGCCAAGUAGCGUGAAGGAUGACUGCCCUAUGGGUUGUAAACUUCUUUUAUAAAGGAAUAAAGUCGGGUAUGGAUACCCGUUUGCAUGUACUUUAUGAAUAAGGAUCGGCUAACUCCGUGCCAGCAGCCGCGGUAAUACGGAGGAUCCGAGCGUUAUCCGGAUUUAUUGGGUUUAAAGGGAGCGUAGGUGGAUGUUUAAGUCAGUUGUGAAAGUUUGCGGCUCAACCGUAAAAUUGCAGUUGAUACUGGAUAUCUUGAGUGCAGUUGAGGCAGGCGGAAUUCGUGGUGUAGCGGUGAAAUGCUUAGAUAUCACGAAGAACUCCGAUUGCGAAGGCAGCCUGCUAAGCUGCAACUGACAUUGAGGCUCGAAAGUGUGGGUAUCAAACAGGAUUAGAUACCCUGGUAGUCCACACGGUAAACGAUGAAUACUCGCUGUUUGCGAUAUACGGCAAGCGGCCAAGCGAAAGCGUUAAGUAUUCCACCUGGGGAGUACGCCGGCAACGGUGAAACUCAAAGGAAUUGACGGGGGCCCGCACAAGCGGAGGAACAUGUGGUUUAAUUCGAUGAUACGCGAGGAACCUUACCCGGGCUUAAAUUGCAGAUGAAUUACGGUGAAAGCCGUAAGCCGCAAGGCAUCUGUGAAGGUGCUGCAUGGUUGUCGUCAGCUCGUGCCGUGAGGUGUCGGCUUAAGUGCCAUAACGAGCGCAACCCUUGUUGUCAGUUACUAACAGGUUCCGCUGAGGACUCUGACAAGACUGCCAUCGUAAGAUGUGAGGAAGGUGGGGAUGACGUCAAAUCAGCACGGCCCUUACGUCCGGGGCUACACACGUGUUACAAUGGGGGGUACAGAGGGCCGCUACCACGCGAGUGGAUGCCAAUCCCAAAAACCUCUCUCAGUUCGGACUGGAGUCUGCAACCCGACUCCACGAAGCUGGAUUCGCUAGUAAUCGCGCAUCAGCCACGGCGCGGUGAAUACGUUCCCGGGCCUUGUACACACCGCCCGUCAAGCCAUGGGAGCCGGGGGUACCUGAAGUGCGUAACCGCGAGGAGCGCCCUAGGGUAAAACUGGUGACUGGGGCUAAGU
rnacentral:rRNA from 1 species